rnacentral:misc_RNA from 1 species
GUUGAAUUUAGUUCUUCAAUUCUGAUUUAAAAACAAACAUCAGACACUCUUCCAUUUCAUCCAAACAAAAUAUAGGGAUAAAAUCAAGAUAAACACAUCAUACAAUCAAAAGAUAAAUAUAAAAUAUCAACAACAAACACUUCCAUUUUUUCUCUAUCAAUUCCAAUAAUCAACAAUCAAUCAAAAUAGAUCCUUGAAAUUAAUAAUUUCAAAAUAGAACAAAACUUAGAACAAAAUGGAGUUUAGAGGGUGGAGAACUGUGGCAUAGUGAGCGAUGUGGUGAGGCAGCUGGCACAACAACAAUAGGUUCAUUAUGUUCGUUACAUGAGGCAAUGAGGUAUUGCAAGGGAUAGAGCGAAGGACGAAACAAACAGCGAUGGUCCCUCUCAGCAUUGCCCUUCCUCACUUGGUUCAUAGGCCACCAUGGGUAAGAAAAUAAGGCAGUUCAUAGUCAUUUAUAGGAAGCCUUCAAAUGGGUAACGAUGGGAAUGGAAGAACGACGAGAAGAAGGAAAUCAUCAAAUCAGCAAGAAGACUUUUAGUCUUAUGUUUCGGAUUUAACGAUGA